rnacentral:rRNA from 1 species
GACGAACGCUGGCGGCAGGCCUAACACAUGCAAGUCGAGCGGAGCAGCGGAAGGGAGAGGAAGGCCUAGGAAUCUGCCUGGUAGUGAGGGAUAACGUCCGGAAACGGGCGCAAAUACCGCAUACUAUCAGAUGAGCCUAGGUCGGAUUAGCUAGUGGGUGGGGUAAAGGCCUACAAAGGCGACGAGCGGGAACUGGUCUGAGAGGAUGAUCAGGCAAACUGGAACUGAGACACUGUCCCGACUCCUGCGGGAGGAGGCAGUGGGGAAUAUUGGACACUGGGCGAAUGCCGGAUCCAGCCAUGCCGCGUGAGUGAUGAAGGUCUUCGGAUUGUAAAGGACUUUAAGUUGGUAGGCGUUACCAACAGAAUAAGCACCGGCUAUCUUCGUGCCAGCCGCCGCGGUAAUAC